GCAAUGGGGCGAGUCUACAUUUUGAUGACAUCUCAGUGGAGCCGGGAACUCGGGAUGCCGGGGAAGAGGACGAAGCUGAGACAGCGGAAGAGGAGGAACGACGAAAUCAAGAGCUCCAGAAUGUAUUGAAGGAUGCAUUUGAUGAUCUCAUUGAAGAUGAUGAUGAAGAUGAAGAUGCUACACUGAACCACACUGGUGACCCAAGUUUUCACCCAGAAAAAUAUCCCACCUCUACACCUUUUGUGGCUGAUAGAGAAAGGUCGCUGUUUGACGAGCUGGGCGACCAGUACAACCUGCCGCGUAUGAGUGAUCCGGCCGGCGGGUACGUCACGCACCCGGACGGAGACUACCCUCGCCACCCGGAUGGAGAUUACCAGCGCCACCCGGAUGGAGAUUA